GUGGGUAACCUGCCUGURAGACUGGGAUAACUCCGGGAAACCGGGGCUAAUACCGGAUGCUUGUUUGAACCGCAUGGUUCAGACAUAAAAGGUGGCUUCGGCUACCACUUACAGAUGGACCCGCGGCGCAUUAGCUAGUUGGUGAGGUAACGGCUCACCAAGGCGACGAUGCGUAGCCGACCUGAGAGGGUGAUCGGCCACACUGGGACUGAGACACGGCCCAGACUCCUACGGGAGGCAGCAGUAGGGAAUCUUCCGCAAUGGACGAAAGUCUGACGGAGCAACGCCGCGUGAGUGAUGAAGGUUUUCGGAUCGUAAAGCUCUGUUGUUAGGGAAGAACAAGUGCCGUUCAAAUAGGGCGGCACCUUGACGGUACCUAACCAGAAAGCCACGGCUAACUACGUGCCAGCAGCCGCGGUAAUACGUAGGUGGCAAGCGUUGUCCGGAAUUAUUGGGCGUAAAGGGCUCGCAGGCGGUUUCUUAAGUCUGAUGUGAAAGCCCCCGGCUCAACCGGGGAGGGGUCAUUGGAAACUGGGGAACUUGAGUGCAGAAGAGGAGAGUGGAAUUCCACGUGUAGCGGUGAAAUGCGUAGAGAUGUGGAGGAACACCAGUGGCGAAGGCGACUCUCUGGGUCUGUAACUGACGCUGAGGAGCGAAAGCGUGGGGGAGCGAACAGGAUUAGAUACCCUGGUAGUCCACGCCGUAACGAUGAGUGCUAAGUGUUAGGGGGUUUCCGCCCCUUAGUGCUGCAGCUAACGCAUUAAGCACUCCGCCUGGGGAGUACGGUCGCAAGACUGAAACUCAAAGGRAAUUGACGGGGGCCCGCACAAGCGGUGGA
rnacentral:rRNA from 1 species